rnacentral:rRNA from 1 species
CGGCGUGCCUAAUACAUGCAAGUCGAGCGAACGGACGAGAAGCUUGCUUCUCUGAUGUUAGCGGCGGACGGGUGAGUAACACGUGGAUAACCUACCUAUAAGACUGGGAUAACUUCGGGAAACCGGAGCUAAUACCGGAUAAUAUUUUGAACCGCAUGGUUCAAAAGUGAAAGACGGUCUUGCUGUCACUUAUAGAUGGAUCCGCGCUGCAUUAGCUAGUUGGUAAGGUAACGGCUUACCAAGGCAACGAUGCAUAGCCGACCUGAGAGGGUGAUCGGCCACACUGGAACUGAGACACGGUCCAGACUCCUACGGGAGGCAGCAGUAGGGAAUCUUCCGCAAUGGGCGAAAGCCUGACGGAGCAACGCCGCGUGAGUGAUGAAGGUCUUCGGAUCGUAAAACUCUGUUAUUAGGGAAGAACAUAUGUGUAAGUAACUGUGCACAUCUUGACGGUACCUAAUCAGAAAGCCACGGCUAACUACGUGCCAGCAGCCGCGGUAAUACGUAGGUGGCAAGCGUUAUCCGGAAUUAUUGGGCGUAAAGCGCGCGUAGGCGGUUUUUUAAGUCUGAUGUGAAAGCCCACGGCUCAACCGUGGAGGGUCAUUGGAAACUGGAAAACUUGAGUGCAGAAGAGGAAAGUGGAAUUCCAUGUGUAGCGGUGAAAUGCGCAGAGAUAUGGAGGAACACCAGUGGCGAAGGCGACUUUCUGGUCUGUAACUGACGCUGGUGUGCG